UAAUAAGUGUUUUAUGGCACUUUUUAAAUCCAUAUCCACCUUGUGUGCAAUGACAGUCGGUUUUCUUUUUCGUCAAGAAAAAAAGGAUCGACCAAACAUCAACUUAUUCUAAUUGAACUGUCUGUCUGAAAACUAUUAUGAAUAAACUAAUUCAAAUA
rnacentral:misc_RNA from 1 species